UACGUAGGGUGCAGGCGUUAAUCGGAAUUACUGGGCGUAAAGCGUGCGCAGGCGGUCUGCUAAGACAGGUGUGAAAUCCCCGGGCUUAACCUGGGAACUGCGCUUGUUACUGGCAGGCUGGAGUGUGGCAGAGGGGGGUGGAAUUCCACGUGUAGCAGUGAAAUGCGUAGAGAUGUGGAGGAACACCGAUGGCGAAGGCAGCCCCCUGGGCUAACACUGACGCUCAUGUACGAAAGCGUGGGGAGCAAACAGG
rnacentral:rRNA from 1 species